rnacentral:sRNA from 1 species
AUAGCAACAGCAGCGUAGCUGAACAUCUUACGGAUGGCCCAGGGCUCCAAAGGCUCGUUUCCUAAGUGAGAGAGAGCCUGGCUGAAGCUGUAUUACCAUUCAUUCUCCAGCCUCCGAAGUCUCAAAGCAUCACUUCCACCAUACUCUAACUGUCAAGACAAACACAAAGGCCCAGACAUUACAUGUAAAUGGAAUCAUACAAUAUGUGAUCUUUUGUGACUGGCUUCUUUCACUUAGCAUAAUGUUUUCAAGGUUUGUUCGUGUUGUAGCAGAAACUGCCAGACUGUCUUCUGAAGUGGCUAUAAUAUUUACACUCCCAUCAGCAGUGUAGAAGGGGUCUCACUAUGUUGUCUGGAGUGCUGUGGUGGAGUGGAGUGGCUAUUCACAGCUGAGUUUGCAGAGUAAACCACUACCCUGAAAUCUGGAAAGGCAGGUGCACCCACAGAUCCUCAGCUGAGAUCCAAUUACCUGAAAUAGAAGCUGCCAUUAGGAACACUUAAAAGAGCCUGUUCUGCUGGGACACAGAAUCACUUGCUCCAUCUCAUACAUUGAUGAUGAUUAAUUUGUAUGUGUACCUUCCAAAAAAGAUGGUUGUGUUUGAAUGGAGGCCUUCUGGACAGGAAAAUUGCAAAGUACAAUUAACAUUUGAGUCUGUCUGAGUCAUGAAGAAAUGGAGAUUACUGAAAAUAAUUCAUUUUGGUAUCUUCUUACAUCCUGAGAGACUAAUCUUUCCAAGUUCAUCUGAGGCUCCUCUUCUCCAUGACAACCUCAUCCAGGGAUUUCUUCCUGUCCUGGUGUUUUAUGACAUGUGGAAGGGGACUGUAGCAGGUGAUCUCCAAAGUCUCUGGAGACUUACUAAUGUGCAUCCUCAUCUCGCUUGUAAGGAUAAUAGCCUUCCUCCAAACCUCACACACUUUUGGAGGAGAUCACUUUUUUUAAAGUGCAUGGAAAUGUUUUGAAACAGUGAAAUCUAUAAUGAUAGGUUUCAUAAUUCUAACAUCCACACCAUAUGAAUCACAUCCUUCCUGAGAUAAUGAGCACACAAUUGCCUGGAUACCUGAAGGAAUGGAGACAGCGGCAGAAAACACUGCAGAGAGGUGGAAACAUCCGUUAAUAUUUUAAAAUCCCAUUACUGCUACCAACAAUAAUAAUGGAUGCAUAGAAAUAGAUCUGGAUUAGCUGAGCUUGAAACAGUCCAUCUCACACACACACAAAAGAAUUUCAGAUACAGUGAACCCACAUGUUGAAGCUUUCUAGUAUAAUAAAAAUUUCAACUGUUCUGUUGAAUCAUCUGCCUGAUUGGAGGCUACAGAAAAGAUGUCAUCUUAGGAGUGCUUGCUCUGAGUGAGGCUCAUCUUCAAAUCUGAAUGACCACAAGGAGAUUUGAUUAUACAUGUGAACACCUCAGAAGGCACAGCCCACCCAGAAGGCAGACAGGUCAGGCUGCUUUUUCUUCAUUGCUUGGAUUCAAUCCUCCGGGCGGCUCAGGCUCAAACAUAACUUAAGCAUGAUUAAACUUUAGAAGAAGCUGCCAGGAAGACUGUGAAAUCUUCAUGCCCAAGGAUCCCUAAAAUUAGGAGCAACAACCACUUGGCUCAGACGGUUUAUGGAGGCAAAGGUUUGGAUGGGAUUAGAGAUUUCUAAAUGUGAGUUCGUGUCCUCUGCCAGACCACCUUACUUCCACCAUUCCUCAGCAAAUCAAGAAAAACAGGAGAAAAGACAUGCCUUUCCAUAAGUUAAAUCUAUUCUGUUUUAAUUCUAUAUUAUAUCUGCUGUACAACUUCUUUUGUUUGUAACACCAUAUUGUUGCUAGUAACUGGAAAUUAAUUUUCACAUGCCUCAGCUUAGAAAAAUAAAAAGCAGCCCUGCAUC